rnacentral:misc_RNA from 1 species
AAAGUCGUAACAAGGUUUCCAUAGAUGAACCUACAGAAAGAUCAUUAUCAAAACAGCGGACUUCGAUCCUUACUGCACCCUUGUCUUUUGCGUACCGUAUGUUUCCUCGGCGGGCUUGCCUGCCGGUUGGACAAUAUCAAACCUUUUUGUAGUUGCAAUCAGCGUCAGAAAACAAAUAAUAAUUACAACUUUCAACAACGGAUCUCUUGGUUCUG